AGCAUUCUGGCUGGAUUCUACCCCCCAGUCAACUGACCACAGCCAGAUGACAACGUGCUGGGGCAAUGGAUUCCAGCUCCAGCCAGAAGAUGAAGGACUCCUGCCUGCGCUCCAUUGGGUGCUUCCCUUCCCCGCCCCAUUUCUCCCUUCAGGCCAGAGCAGACUGAGCUGCCCUGGGGCCCUGGACUCCUUCUCAGAUCUUCUGAGGCAUCCAGCAGCGUCUGGUACCCAGGAACUAGAACAUGUCAUCCUUGGCCUCUGUGAGGACCAGGAACCAUCAGGUUGUCCCCCUUCCACUACUCCCUGCGGACUGGGAUAUAGCUCACGACAGCCAGAUGCCCACCUGGCCCAGAGUACCCGUGCUCAGGCAGAACAAGGGUUACUCCCUUUAUUAUCCCCCACCCCACCCCACCCCAUGCCUGGUGGUGGUGCCUGACAAUAUAUGACUGGGAAUUCAGUAAUCAAAAGCCUGGGCCGGAAUUUUAAUAUCUUCUCCUACACCACCCCUCUCUCUCCACCCCUCUCUUGUCCUUUAUUCACGGAGCCCUCAGCACCCAUAUUCCCAGCCUCUCUGACCUGGGACCUCUUCAGAUGGUCUCACCCUGUAUACUACCUUUGUGAUCCUACUAUUGAAAUAAUUGUCCCUCA